AUACUUACCUGGCAGGGGAGACACCAUGAUCACAAAGGUGGUUUUCCCACAGCGAGGCUCAUCUGUGCACUCCGGAUGUGCUGACCCUUGCGAUUUCCCCACGUGGGGGAAACUCGACUGCAUAAUUUGUGGCAGUGGGUGACUACAUUUGCACUCUCCCC
ensembl:snRNA U1 U1 spliceosomal RNA